rnacentral:rRNA from 1 species
CCUACGGGAGGCAGCAGUGGGGGAUAUUGCACAAUGGGGGAAACCCUGAUGCAGCGACGCCGCGUGUGGGAAGACGGUCCUCUGGAUUGUAAACCACUGUCCCCAGGGACGAAGAUGACGGUACCUGGGGAGGAAGCUCCGGCUAACUACGUGCCAGCAGCCGCGGUAAUACGUAGGGAGCAAGCGUUGUCCGGAAUUACUGGGUGUAAAGGGAGCGUAGGCGGGAUGGCAAGUUGGGUGUUAAAUCUACCGGCUCAACGGGGUGAAGUGCCAUUGAUACUGCCUUGCUGGAAUGCGGAUGCCGUGGGAGGAAUGUGUGUUGUAGCGGUGAAAUGCAUAGAUAUCACACAGAACACCGAUUGCGAAGACAUCUCACGAAUCCGCGAUUGACGCUGAUGCACGAAAGCGUGGGUAUCAAACAGGAUUAGAUACCCGAGUAGUC